rnacentral:lncRNA from 1 species
CCGACGGGGCCGCGGUGCAACGCACGGCGCUGGGAGCGGCCCCGGAUACCGUCCAGGAAAGGAGCAUUUCCUUGUCUGCCCUGGUAAAUGGUUCUCCUACAGCCCCACGUGACGUGUCCUGUCUGCCAGCCAAGGAGGGCUGGCUGUGACAGCUUCAUGACCCCUCAGCUCUGCUCCUCACAAUGAGCGUGAGCCCUGACAAGUCUGGAGGUCCAGCGGUGUCCAGCUGACUUGUGUGCUCUCUGGCAGUUGGGAACCAGCGCAGCGUCUGCCUGCAGCGUUUCCAGUGGUUGGAGGAGGACGAAAAGUGCACAGCCUCUGUUGCAUGAAGCUGACUUCCUGGGAUUGCUGAACGGCUGCCUUUUGCCACCUCCUGCCUGUCGCAUCGAACACCAGGGCGAAUUGGGUGGCUCUACAUGAAGCACUACAACAAACGUGACAGGCGAAGACCCAUCCCUGCGGAGCGGCACUACUCCCUCCACGUUCUCCAGAACCAUCGGCGCAACCUGGGCCUGGUGGGCGGCACAUCUUCCAGCACGCUGAGGAUCAGCAGUGUCUGCAGCACCAGACAGCGCAUGGUCGGCUCGCUGUCCUCCUUGGCUCCCUCCAGGGCUGCAAUGGAGCGGUGCUGUGUCACCACGUGGGCCCCACAUGGCACUUCCUGGGGCACGGGGCAGCGGGGGGGGAUGGCUCACCUUUACGGAUGU